rnacentral:tRNA from 1 species
CGGCGCGUAACUCAGUGGUACGAGUGUCUCUCUUACAAAGAGAAUGUCGCAGGUUCGACCCCUGCCGCGCUGACCA